AUGCUGUCCGUGAGCUCACGGGUGGAGACAACUCUGCACGUGCACAAACACACGCAUGCACACUUGGGAAGACAAACACCUGUUGACCUCGAGAACAGAGGGUUUUCGACUUCUUCUGAAAGGAGUGACACGAGCAACCGGGGCUGUGAAAGACUCUCCCCUUCCACCCCUGGACCAAAAAACGAGGAGACAGUCUCACGAACGAGGCCCUUGAGUGACGUGGAGAGCGGAUGUCAGGCCCGCUGACCUCUUUUUACUCGGCACCAGCGAGUCCGGAAGGACGGGGUCGCCAUCUACUCGCUCCCUUUAGCUGCCUGGCGCUUCUUCCCCACAGCAGGCUUAGUGCCCAGUCUGUGUCCCCAUCUCACCUCCCACCUCAUCUCUACGCCUUUGGGUUAUGCUAGCCAACAGGUAGCAAGGGGACUGCUAAUUCUAACUUCCAAGCGCACCUUCCCCAGUCCCCCACCCCAUCUGCUGAAAGAGAUUCACUUCUCAUGAGAAUCUGGUAAGCCUGCCAGCACCCCCAGGAGGAAAAAGUCACUAACUCACUUCUUUAGAAGCACCUUCCCCACCCCCCACUGGGUGGUCUUGACCACCACCAGCCUACCAAAGAAUCAUUGCAUUUUAUUGUUUCCAUAUUUCCCAGUGCAUUUUAACCAGACAUUCAAAUGGCACCCCGACGUCUAUAUUUAAAGAUUGUAGUGGGGGGACUCCCCGCCCCCACCCCCCUCAGAAGAGACCUGUGUUCCACCUCCCAGAAGUGGCUGCUCAUCAGAGAGGAGGUGAUUCAGCUUUCCUAGAAGAUCAUUUGCAGGGGAAAAUACAGUACUAGUGCUCAGAGUGCUGCCUGCUUCCAGAGAUUAAAAAAAAAAAAAACACACCACCAAAAAAACCCUGCUCUCAGACACAUGGAAUUCCCAUUGACGAGGUCUGACCAACACCAGGCGCUGAAUUUUCCCCAUUAAACUUAAAGCUCAGGAUGAAAGACGUGGGGGUGGGAGAAGGGGUCCCAUUUGGCCUUUU
rnacentral:lncRNA from 1 species